CGGGUGCACUGAUCCGGCCGGGCCUUUCCCUCUGUGGAACCCCAUGGCCUUCACUGGCUGUGCGGGGGAAACAGGACUUUUACUGUGAAAAAAUUAGAGUGCUCCAGGCAGGCCUAUGCUCGAAUACAUUAGCAUGGAAUAAUAGAAUAGGACGCGUGGUUCUAUUUUGUUGGUUUCUAGGACCGCCGUAAUGAUUAAUAGGGACAGUCGGGGGCAUCAGUAUUCAAUUGUCAGAGGUGAAAUUCUUGGAUCUAUUGAAGGCUAACUACUGCGAAAGCAUUUGCCAAGGAUGUUUUCAUUGAUAAGGAACGAAAGUUAGGGGAUCGAAGACGAUCAGAUACCGUCGUAGUCUUAACUAUAAACUAUGCCGACUAGGGAUCGGACGAUGUUAUUUCUUGACGCGUUCGGCACCUUUCGAGAAAUCAAAGUGCUUGGGCUCCAGGGGGAGUAUGGUCGCAAGGCUGAAACUUAAAGAAAUUGACGGAAGGGCACCACCAGGGGUGGAACCUGCGGCUUAAUUUGACUCAACACGGGGAAACUCACCAGGUCCAGACACAAUGAGGAUUGACAGAUUGAGAGCUCUUUCUUGAUUUUGUGGGUGGUGGUGCAUGGCCGUUCUUAGUUGGUGGAGUGAUUUGUCUGCUUAAUUGCGAUAACGAACGAGACCUUAACCUGCUAAAUAGCCCGUACUGCUCUGGCAGUUCGCCGGCUUCUUAGAGGGACUAUCGG
rnacentral:rRNA from 1 species